rnacentral:rRNA from 1 species
CGCGGACAAUGUAACGGGGCUCAAGUCCAGAGCCGAAGUCGCGGGUUUUCACAAUAGUGAAAGCGGUAGCGGAGCGUCGAUCUUGCUGUGAAGCGCCGGUGUAAACCGUCGUGGAGCGUGGUCGAGUGAGAAUGCAGGUAUGAGUAGCGAGAGAGGGGUGAGAAACCCCUCCGCCGAAAAUCCAAGGGUUCCUGGGGAAGGCUAAUCCUCCCAGGGUGAGUCGGGAGCUAAGACGAGGCCGAGAGGCGUAGUCGAUGCACAACCGGUUGAUAUUCCGGUACCACUGUGAGCACGACCAGGCUCAACCAUUGUUGCUAAGGGGAUGCUAGGAGCCCGUAAAAAGGCACCUAGAGGAACCGACCCACAAUGGAGCGGCCAGCAAUGCGGGGACGCAGGAAGGUAGGUGAACCCACCCGAUGGUAGAGGUGGGGUAAGUAUGUAGGGCGGGUCCCAGGAAAAUCCGGUACCCACUAAGCCUGAGAUACGACGCCGACUCGAUUAAGAGGAAGUCAUUGAUCCUAUGCUGCCAAGAAAAGCCGCUAGCGAGUUCUCACGGUGCCCGUACCCCAAACCAACACAGGUGGAUAGGUAGAGAAUACCAAGGCGAUUGGGAGAACUGUGGUUAAGGAACUCGGCAAAUUGCAUCCGUAACUUCGGGAGAAGGAUGACCUCAUUAAAGUGAUGGAACUUGCUUCCUGAGCUUGAAGAGGUGUCACAAACCAGAGGGAAGCGACUGUUUACUAAAAACACAGCAGCGUGCUAAGCCGUAAGGCGCUGUAUACGCUGUGACGCCUGCCCGGUGCCGGAAGGUUACGGGGACGGGUUAGCCCUUUAGGGCGAAGCUCUGAACCUAAGCCCCGGUAAACGGCGGCCGUAACUAUAACGGUCCUAAGGUAGCGAAAUUCCUUGUCGGGUAAGUUCCGACCUGCACGAAUGGCGUAACGACUUCCCUACUGUCUCAACCACAGACCCAGCGAAAUUGAAGUACGAGUAAAGAUGCUCGUUAGCUACAGAAGGACGGAAAGACCCCGUGGACCUUUACUACAACUUGGUAUUGAUGUUUGACCUUCACUGUGCAGGAUAGGUGGGAGACUUUGAAGCGCAUGCGCCAGUGUGCGUGGAGUCAUCCUUGAAAUACCACCCUGUGUAUGUUGAACAUCUAACCUCGAACCGUUAUCCGGUUUAGGAACAGUGCCAGGCGGGUAGUUUGACUGGGGCGGUCGCCUCCCAAAGAGUAACGGAGGCGCCCAAAGGUUCCCUCAGCCUGGUUGGCAAUCAGGCAUCGAGUGCAAUGGCAGAAGGGAGCUUGACUGCGAGACCUACAAGUCGAGCAGGGUCGAAAGACGGGCAUAGUGAUCCGGCGGUUGCGUGUGGAAGCGCCGUCGCUCAACGGAUAAAAGGUACCCCGGGGAU